rnacentral:rRNA from 1 species
UACGGAGGAGGCAAGCGUUAUCCGGAAUUAUUGGGCGUAAAGCGUCCGUAGGUGGCUAGUCAAGUCUGCGGUCAAAGACUGGGGCUUAACCCUGGAAAGGCCGUGGAAACUGACGAGCUAGAGUGCAGUAGGGGUAGAGGGAAUUCCUGGUGUAGCGGUGAAAUGCGUAGAUAUCAGGAGGAACACCUAUGGCGAAGGCAGCUCGCUGGGACGUUACUGACGCUGAGACGCGAAAGCGUGGGGAGCAAACAGG